AUUGCUGGCUAAAUCCUUCUCCCAGAGACACUGAGCCUAAUGCAGACCAAGCAAGUUAUUAACGUGAAGGUCUAUUAGUUUCCGAUCGCUUCUAGUGCUCCAAAUAUCAGAGAGGAUCCAGCAGUGAUUAACAAUCGCCCCACAUUAUAUUUUGGAUUUCUCCAGUAGGAAAGAUGUCGCUUCCAGAGGCAUGCUUUAAGUUGCUCCCAUCCAUUUUGAGGGAAGCGAGUGGGGAAAUCCAAUUCCUUUGAGCCUUGUGCUGGAAAGCUGAGUUCUCUAACUAGGUCAUUGUUCUUCCUGUAUUGCAAAAGGCAUGCAAGAGUUGGUUCGCUGCUCUAGCAUCUAAACCAGAGGUGGGUUCGUCCAUGAAUAUUACGGAUGGAUUCGAAACAAGUUCUACCGCAAUCGUUAGCCGUUUACGCUGUUCAGUUGAUAUACCACCACCACCAGGAAUGAUCUAAAGUUUCUUUUUUCUUGAGACGGCAGAAUCGUUCAUGAGAGAUGAUAGUCCGAGAACUACCUGGAGCUGUGAAAUUGAAAAUUCAAGAACAGAUAUUCCUCUUUGCAUUGCGUCCCCUACAAUUGUCUCAGCACAAAUGUCCAGCCCAAGGAUCUAGAAGAGAAAAGGUUGAAGUGUAUAGGAAUGAAUUAGAACAUGAAUCUUUCAGACUCCAUACCUUCAUAUAAGUGUCAAUGUCUGGUUCUGGGACAAUACCUGCUUGCUUCUCCCUUCGAGUAACUUCUUUCAUGAUAUCUUUAAUGGAAAAAAGCUUCUUAGUUUAAUCUUGCUCGACUAAAAAUUUUGAUGGCUAGAGGUUGGGAAAGAAAAAAUGGAAGAAGAAGUCCUACCAGCUCUGCUUCCAAUACCCUGGCAACGAGAUGAAAAAUCCAGUGCUUCCCUCACAGUCAUCUCAGAAAUAUGCAAGUCAUAUUGACUUAUAUAAGCUGAUGUCUUCUGAGGAACAAACUCGUUCGUCUUAUAACCAUUGUAAGUUAUUUCUCCUUGAACCUAAUAUUUUUUGGACAGGUAUUUAUAAGAUUUUGGUUUAUAUCAUAUAUGAGCUCACUAUUGUGUCUUAGUCAGACACAUAUGUUCCAAAUAGACAUAAAAAUGCCUAUGUUCUUAUUGUCUAUAGAGAACCUUGAGAGAGUGGUUUUGUUUUCCUGCAAGUGCCUGCAAUAAGGUUGUUUUCCCACAGC